GAUGAACGCUGGCGGCGUGCCUAAUACAUGCAAGUCGAGCGAAUGGAUUAAGAGCUUGCUCUUAUGAAGUUAGCGGCGGACGGGUGAGUAACACGUGGGUAACCUGCCCAUAAGACUGGGAUAACUCCGGGAAACCGGGGCUAAUACCGGAUAACAUUUUGAACCGCAUGGUUCGAAAUUGAAAUGCGGCUUCGGCUGUCACUUAGGGAUGGACCCGCGUCGCAUUAGCUAGUUGGUGAGGUACCGGCUCACCAAGGCAACGAUGCGUAGCCGACCUGAGACAGUGAUCGGCCACACUGGGAACGAGACACGGCCCAGACUCCUACGGGAGGUAGCAGUAGAGAAUCUUCCGCAAUGGACGAAAGUCUGACAGAGCAACGCCGCGUGCGUGAUGAAGGCUUUGGGGUCGUAAAACUCUGUUGUUAGGGAAGAACAAGUGCUAGUUGAAUAAGCUAGCACCUUGACGGUACCUAACCAGAAAGCCACGGCUAACUACGUGCCAGCCGCCGCGGUAA
rnacentral:rRNA from 1 species